GGGACAGUAGCUCAGUGGUAGAGCUCCCACUUCAUACGCGGGAAGACCUGGGUCCGAUUCUCGGCUGCUUUG
rnacentral:tRNA from 1 species